rnacentral:rRNA from 1 species
AGAGUUUGAUCAUGGCUCAGAUUGAACGCUGGCGGCAGGCUUAACACAUGCAAGUCGAACGGUAACAGGGAGGAGCUUGCUUCUUUGCUGACGAGUGGCGGACGGGUGAGUAAUGCUUGGGAAUCUGGCUUAUGGAGGGGGAUAACUACGGGAAACUGUAGCUAAUACCGCGUAAUAUCUUCGGAUUAAAGGGUGGGACUUUCGGGCCACCUGCCAUAAGAUGAGCCCAAGUGGGAUUAGGUAGUUGGUGGGGUAAAGGCCUACCAAGCCGACGAUCUCUAGCUGGUCUGAGAGGAUGACCAGCCACACUGGAACUGAGACACGGUCCAGACUCCUACGGGAGGCAGCAGUGGGGAAUAUUGCACAAUGGGGGGAACCCUGAUGCAGCCAUGCCGCGUGAAUGAAGAAGGCCUUCGGGUUGUAAAGUUCUUUCGGUGAUGAGGAAGGUGUUUGUUUUAAUAGAGCAAGCAAUUGACGUUAGUCACAGAAGAAGCACCGGCUAACUCCGUGCCAGCAGCCGCGGUCAAUACGGAGGGUGCGAGCGUUAAUCGGAAUGACUGGGCGUAAAGGGCACGCAGGCGGUGACUUAAGUGAGAUGUGAAAGCCCCGAGCUUAACUUGGGAAUUGCAUUUCAUACUGGGUCGCUAGAGUAUUUUAGGGAGGGGUAGAAUUCCACGUGUAGCGGUGAAAUGCGUAGAGAUGUGGAGGAAUACCGAAGGCGAAGGCAGCCCCUUGGGAAUAUACUGACGCUCAUGUGCGAAAGCGUGGGGAGCAAACAGGAUUAGAUACCCUGGUAGUCCACGCUGUAAACGCUGUCGAUUUGGGGAUUGGGCUUUAAGCUUGGUGCCCGUAGCUAACGUGAUAAA